GAAAGUGUGACCCAAUCACCUGUGGCAGUCAUUUGUAGAGAAAGAUGCUAUUAGUGCUAAGAAAGGUGAUUGAGUGCUGUUUAAAAAAAUAAUCAAGAGAGCCGCUAGUAUUCAUCAGGGGCUGCUCUCAAUAGCUUAUUCUCAAUAAAGGCAAAGGAAUCAACUCAAACAGAGGGUUCAGUAAACAAUGAAAAGUAGAAGAAUAUCAAAUUAUUAGUGUCGUCUGUUGCAAUGUAAAGUGAAAUGCAUUUAUAUGAUGUAGGCAGGUUCCUGUAUUUGUGUUUUCCCUUUAGAACCAUAUUAAAUUAAAUUAAUGUUUAUCUGUUACAUUCAGAACUUAGAAUUGUGUUCCUCAGGAUCUUGAGGAAAGAACAUAGAGCAACCAACAAUGAUGUACGGUGACCUAUGGCAUCUCAUUCAAUUACAAGAUUUCAGGAAUCACAGACAAGACUGUGCCUAAGUGGAGACAGGCUGGCUAGGAUUCAACUCCUGCAUUCCAAAGGCCACCUGAAGGAGCAGCCGGCAUCAGCAGAGGCAGAGGGGAGAGGGCACGCUGGCUCUUAAAGCUUCCAUGCGAGAGAAUUAUCCAUCAUGUUCACUCACAUUUCCUUGGCCAAAGCAAGUCAUAUGGCCAAGCAUGACUUCAAGGGGGAUAGGAAAAUAGAAUCAUCCUAUGGCUGGGGGCAGUGGAUAUGGUGGAGCUGGGCAAGUCAUCCACAUUUAUCUUCAGUCUGGCUUCCCUUUCCUUCACGCUGAACAUAUUCUUUAAUAAAUCUUUUAAUUAGCAUCUGUGAGUGGUAAACUCUUUUAUUUUUAUACAUGUAAAAAAGCCUUUAUUUUUCCCUGACUCUUAAUUAAAUGUUUAGCUGUGUAUAAAAUAUGAGAUUUACUAUUUCCUUACCUGAGCACUUGGAAAAUAUUAUUCUAUUGCUUUUUGGCCUGUAUUUUUUGCUAAUGAAAGUGUUGUUGCCAACUUAAUUGCUAUUAUUUUGUAGGUAAUCUGUCAUUUUUGGCAGCUUUUAGAUUUUUUUUCAAACUGGAUGUGGAUUUAUUCUUCCUUAUCCUGCUCAGAACUUGAAGCACACACAUUUAGUCUAAGGAUGUAUGGCUUCUUUCAUCUCUGGGAUAUUCUCAGCCAUAAUUUUUUCAAUGAUCUUUUGCUGGACCUCCCAUUGAAUACAUAUCAAACUGCUCAAGUUUACUAAAUCACUUCAGUCCAGUCUAGAAUUU